rnacentral:rRNA from 1 species
GGAGGAAAGCAGGGGAUCGCAAGACCUUGUGCUAUACGAGCGGCCGAUGUCGGAUUAGCUAGUUGGUAGGGUAAAGGCCUACCAAGGCAACGAUCCGUAGCGGGUCUGAGAGGAUGAUCCACCACACUGGGACUGAGACACGGCCCAGACUCCUACGGGAGGCAGCAGUGGGGAAUUUUAGACAAUGGGCGCAAGCCUGAUCCAGCCAUGCCGCGUGAGUGAAGAAGGCCUUCGGGUUGUAAAGCUCUUUUGUCAGGGAGCAAAUCCUAACGGUUAAUACCUGUUGGGGAUGAGAGUACCUGAAGAAUAAGCACCGGCUAACUACGUGCCAGCAGCCGCGGUAAUACGUAGGGUGCAAGCGUUAAUCGGAAUUACUGGGCGUAAAGCGUGCGCAGGUGGUUGUGCAAG